UACGUAGGGUGCAAGCGUUGCUCGGAAUUACUGGGCGUAAAGCGCACGUAGGCGGCUUUGUAAGUUAGAGGUGAAAGCCCAGGGCUUAACCCUGGAAUUGCCUUUAAGACUGCAUCGCUAGAAUUGUGGAGAGGUAAGUGGAAUUCCGAGUGUAGAGGUGAAAUUCGUAGAUAUUCGGAAGAACACCAGUGGCGAAGGCGACUUACUGGACACAUAUUGACGCUGAGGUGCGAAAGCGUGGGGAGCAAACAGG
rnacentral:rRNA from 1 species